rnacentral:rRNA from 1 species
GACGAACGCUGGCGGCGUGCUUAACACAUGCAAGUCGAACGGAAAGGCCCUGCUUUUGUGGGGUGCUCGAGUGGCGAACGGGUGAGUAACACGUGAGUAACCUGCCCUUGACUUUGGGAUAACUUCAGGAAACUGGGGCUAAUACCGGAUAGGAGCUCCUGCUGCAUGGUGGGGGUUGGAAAGUUUCGGCGGUUGGGGAUGGACUCGCGGCUUAUCAGCUUGUUGGUGGGGUAGUGGCUUACCAAGGCUUUGACGGGUAGCCGGCCUGAGAGGGUGACCGGCCACAUUGGGACUGAGAUACGGCCCAGACUCCUACGGGAGGCAGCAGUGGGGAAUAUUGCACAAUGGGCGGAAGCCUGAUGAAGCAACGCCGCGUGCGGGAUGACGGCCUUCGGGUUGUAAACCGCUUUCGCCUGUGACGAAGCGUGAGUGACGGUAAUGGGUAAAGAAGCACCGGCUAACUACGGG